AACGAACGCUGGCGGCAUGCCUAACACAUGCAAGUCGAACGAGACCUUCGGUUCUAGUUGCGCACGGGUGCGUAACGCGUGGGAACCUUCCCUUAGGUUGGGAAUAACUCCCCGAAAGGGGUGCUAAUACCGGAUAAUGUCUUCGGACCAAAGAAUUAUCGCCUUUGGAUGGGCCCGCGUUGGAUUAUCUAGUUGGUAGGGUAAAAGCCUAACAAGGCGACGAUCCAUAGCUGGUCUGAGAGGAUGAUCAGCCACACUGGGACUGAGACACGGCCCAGACUCCUACGGGAGGCAGCAGUGGGGAAUAUUGGAAAAUGGGGGAAAGCCUGAUCCAGCAAUGCCGCGUGAGUGAUGAAGGCAUUAGGGUUGUAAAGCUCUUUUACCCGGGAUGAUAAUGACAGUACCGGGAGAAUAAGCUCCGGCUAACUCCGUG
rnacentral:rRNA from 1 species